CGCGGCCUAUCAGCUUGUUGGUGGGGUAAUGGCCUACCAAGGCGACGACGGGUAGCCGGCCUGAGAGGGCGACCGGCCACACUGGGACUGAGACACGGCCCAGACUCCUACGGGAGGCAGCAGUGGGGAAUAUUGCACAAUGGGCGAAAGCCUGAUGCAGCGACGCCGCGUGAGGGAUGACGGCCUUCGGGUUGUAAACCUCUUUCAGCAGGGACGAAGCGUAAGUGACGGUACCUGCAGAAGAAGCGCCGGCCGACCACGUGCCAGCAGCCGCGGUAAGACGUAGGGCGCGAGCGUUGUCCGGAUUUAUUGGGCGUAAAGAGCUCGUAGGCGGCUUGUCGCGUCGACUGUGAAAACCCGCAGCUCAACUGCGGGCCUGCAGUCGAUACGGGCAGGCUAGAGUUCGGUAGGGGAGACUGGAAUUCCUGGUGUAGCGGUGGAAUGCGCAGAUAUCAGGAGGAACACCGGUGGCGAAGGCGGGUCUCUGGGCCGAUACUGACGCUGAGGAGCGAAAGCGUGGGGAGCGAACAGGAUUAGAUACCCUGGUAGUCCACGCUGUAAACGUUGGGCGCUAGGUGUGGGGGACCUCUCCGGUUCUCUGUGCCGCAGCUAACGCAUUAAGCGCCCCGCCUGGGGAGUACGG
rnacentral:rRNA from 1 species